UUAUUAUUAUUAUUAUUAUUAUUAUAGCUUGGCUGCAAGGCACCUGCUUCUCUUAGAAAUGGGAUUUAUCUCAGUUGUAGGGCAGGAGAGAGUGGCCCAAAUUGGGGCGAGGUUCAGAAAAGGUGGCCGGAGAGAUAGGACACAAAUGGAGAUAAGAGAUGGAUGUAUAUAUAUAAAAGGCUCCUGGUGUUCGGAUGGCCUUCCAGACGUCCGCAGGCCAAGAAGGUUCUGCUUCUUUUCUCCCAGUUUUCCUUCAUCCGGAUUCUGCCCGAAGUCUCUGGGCCGGAUAUCAUCAUAUACUGUAAGUUGGAAUGAGACACUACAGUAUAGAUGAUGUACUACCUUGAGCUCUUUCUUCCCGACUCGGGAUCUUCGGCCAAGGGAACCGGGGAGGGGGGUGGGUGUGUCUACACCGUCCAAUUAAUCCAGUUUGGAACCACUUUGAAACUUUGGAAGAAGAAGAAGAACUGACCGGUGUGUUGGCGAAACCGUUACCAUUACUGAGUUUAGUAAUGGUAAGGGUUCUUCUAUCACGCCGACUUCCGCCGAAGCAAGAAAACGAAGAACCUCGGGCAGCGUUGUUUGUUGGGCGGCGGCAUCAUUUCCCCCUUUUUAAUAAAAAUAUAAAAUAAAAAUUA